UUGUUAUAUAUACAAAAUCAUGAUGAAAAGUCUUUAUUUGGCAUAAAAGAGAUGAUAUAGGCUUUUUUACAAAAACACACAGCUUUAUAUAUGUUGGAGAGUCAAGCUUUAUUUUACACAAAAGUCUUUUGGAAGAAAAAGUACCAUGCAUAGCAAGGUUGUUUUUUGAAGACAAGGUAUCAUAAGGCUUGAAAAAGAAUUGACCAUGUUGACUAUGCAAACUAAAGACAUUGUUGUAUCCUAAGGCUUUUUAAAAUGUUUUUAUUAUUAUAAUAUUUUUUUUAAAACUGUGAUUGGCUGGCAACCAGUUGAGGGUGUGCCCCGCCUCUCGCCCGGAGAUAGCCUCCAGCCCCUAGUGAGGAGAAGCGGAACGGAAGAUGAAUGAUCAGGAAAGACAAGUUGUAUAUCGUAGGGCUUUUUUAACACUAAAAAGGCAAAAGGCUUCUUGUAGUAAAUUAUAGUCAUCAUGUCUUCAACAAUUUUUUCUCCGUGAAGUCUUAUUAUACAUCAUGUGGUAUUAAAAAUUCCAUAGUAUAUAUUCUGUCACUUUGAUCAUUCAUAAUCUUAUGGUAUCAUUUUAUGCAAUAAACAAUUGUAUCAUGUCAUAGUAAAGAUGAUUAGUUGUCAUGAUGAGAAUGUCUUACGAUGUAAAUCCAAAGUCUUAUUAUGGCAAGGAUUCCAAAAAUAAACCAACAACUUGAGUAUACAUCAAGGUGCAGUCAAACGGCUGCAUUAUUGAAAACAAAAUCCAUAUGCAGAUAAUGCGCAUUUUUACAUCAUCCCAUCACGCGGCCGCUGUAGUCACAUACAUCUGUUAUCAAAUGUGUCAACCGUGUUAAAAGUUUGAAUAAUCAGAAGUGUUUCAGCUUUGAAAUGAUUAAUAUUCAGCUCCAGAUCUUUGUAACCUUUCGCGGGGUUUCCGGUGGUAACGGCUGGUUUCACAAUAUCUGUAUGGCUAACCGUAUCCGUGACACGGUCCGGAUGGAGAUGCUGUCAUUUACGUGGGAAACCGCAUCCGAGCCAUUACCCAUGGCGUGAUGAGAUCAAAAAUGUAUAUACACCUUAUUAUCUUCCUCGCUGACAGCCAUUUGCAGCCGAAUCGGGAAGUUGAAAUAUCCCACGGAGUCGUCUUUGGCCGGAGCAGACGACUGCAAAUUGUGCACAAACAAAACAAGCUGCACAGCCACAGAUAUUCAGUAAUCACAUCCACAAAUACAAUUUAGAGGGUAUUAUGUUCCUUUUGCCCAGUUUUAUCUGGGACUCGUUUUAAUUAAGUGGGACACUGCUUUCAUUUACUCUUUGUAAUCUUUUGUUUGUGUUUUUCUCCCCAUUAGUUUGCCUUAUCUGCGGAUUGUGCAGGCCUACGCACAAAGUUGUACUCAAACUUGGUUUGAGCUGAUGACGACAGCUGAAACACUUGAUUUAUAUUUUGUAAUGGGACCACGUUGUUGUUUUUUUGUUGCCGGGCAAACCGGACGUGGAGCUUUUUCCUCGAGCUGUGAUUCACAUGGAUGGCUUAACCACUUUCGUUUUGAAUAAACGCUGCACUUUGCAUCUCAGUCAUAUGUUUGAGGGGUGUCUAUUUAUUUCUUUGUUUCUUCUCCCCAAUUUGCAGCAAUGAGGAUUAGCUAGUGGGGCUGCAGCACCUGCAGUGGAAUCACAGUCACAUAAGUCUCUCGUGCUGUUGUACUCUUUACUCACAGCGGUGACAAGAAACGACUUUGUCCUCUCGAUUGAUAACAAUAUUUGUACUGGGAUGGAUCUUUUGUGUCUAGAAUUUUAAGUGGCGAGAUAGCAGUAGGUUAGGGCUAAAAAAGAUAAGAACCGCAGACUGACAAUAAUGAAGUCAGAUGUUUUUGCCAUUCAAUUAUAUCCCGGUGGCUGCCAUUCUGCACCUACCACUGCCAAACACCCAACCGCAUUUAUUCGUAGCCAAUACGGGUUUGCGUGUCAUCCACGUACACGAUGACGUUAUUUGCUCGGGCGGGGAUACGAACCAGCGAUCGUCCGGUUUCAGGGUGUGCACAGAGCCUCUGCGCCACGCUACUCACAUUGCCAUUGGCAAUCAGUGUUGAGAAGUGACCUUUUGUUUCUCUUUGCGACUGGCUCCACCACUGAGCUAUUUGAAAAUCAUCAGCACUUUUGGAAGCAACUCAGCCAUUAUAAACAAGACUUGAUUAUUGUAAUUUUGUCGUUUUUUUUUUUUUUUUUUUUCCAUUCUCAACAGGUACCACCGUAAUCAGCAACAUGAAAAUACAGUAGGUCAGCAGGCCCAGUGGUUUUAUUCCUAAAAAGAAGUUGCAAUAUUGAUAUUAUAUAACGACGAUAAAAAAAGAACUACUUCAAUAAUUGAUAUCGGAUAUAAAAGUGAAAGAAAAACGGUGCCUACAUGUUUGAAAACAAUGAAACGCAUCCCGGUUGCCCCGGGAGACGGGAGCCACACAAGCUUAUUGAGUUUCACCUGUGGCUCGUUGCGAGUGCUUGCAGCUGUGGCUGACGACGGGGACAAAGCAAUAAGAGGGCCGCAAAGACAGUCAGUAGUGUGACUGGGCACCAAGGUGCCCGAUGCCGGGGCCACGCGCUUGCACGGUGGCUGCGGUGCAGCCAUUUAUCAAAUGGCUUGGUGAUGUAAGGUAGGUUUAGUUGAUCCAGUAUUUAAAAAAAAAAAAAGAAUAAUAAUAAUGAUGUCAUGUUUAUGCAUGUUGUGUUGAAUACCAAUUCAGUCACAAGAAAAUGUUGUCAAGUUGCUUUCCAGACAUGCAGAAGGCGAGAAGACCGAAGACUCUGUGGAACUCAAACUGUGGGCAAACUCAUGGUAUAAAUUGUUUGGCAGUGGCUCAGUUAGGUCAGACCCACCCCCACCUGAAGGAAGAUGCACCCGCAGCUCCUGAUGCAACUGUCACACACACACCCUGCCACCCAAUUGGUUGCCUGGGGAACCAGCAGGUGUGAUUCGUUACGGAGUACCUGGUGCAUUUCGGAGCGACGCGCAGCAUAAAGAGCUGUGCAGAAAGCAACUCAGGACAGCUGUCCAAACAAUUUGUGACUGCUGUGGAAGAGAGUGUCACUAAAUCUUGUCACCUGGGAGGGGCUUCAAGCAAAUUUGUUUUGGCGCAGAAUCGUGGUCAUAGGAAAAACCCAGAACUUGACAACGUAUGUAUUUAUUUGUCUCUCUGUGCAAAAGCUGAUAUAAGAUUUUAUUUUAACCAUUGUUUUGAGAUGUUGGUUAAACGGACUUUGUUGUGACAAUAAUUCUUUAGGAAUAUAAGACUGUACAUCUCAUUUCCAUUUGUC